GAGCUUCUUAAGAACAGGUAGGGAGAAGCUGAACAGAUGAAUGGUGUGUCAGGAUGGGCAUUUUCAAAGCAAACCUUUUUGCUAACCUGAGCUGGAGAGAGGAAGUUCCUCGACAGCUUGGCCAAACCCACAGACCCAGUCACUGUUGUUUGCUGACCAGCAUGUGCUCGCUUCACAGAAUCAAGAAAAACAACUCUCCUUUCCAAGAAAGCAAGGAGUUGUCCAGGAAUUUCCCUUUGAUCAUGAGAGAAAUUGGCUGCUUGGAAGCAACGCUGAAGCAACAGUGAAGUAACACUGAAGCAACUGCGUGGAAGAGCUGCCAGAACCUGGGCUGAAAAAAAUAAAGAUCAGGACUCAUGGGGAAUACAGCAAGUGUAUGUUUAUGGGUUUUUCCUUCUUGUUCUGUGAUUGAGAAAACAGAAUAAUUCCUGAUGGGAAAUUUGUGCUUGAAAUCAUCUUGGGGGGAUCUUAAGAUGCCUUAAGCAGUACUAUCCAGUUGUGCAGGCUGUGUGAGGAAGGUUAAAAACAAAACAACAUCCAGACCAGAUACUAUUCUUCCUGCAGAGAGCUUACCAUGUGAGACAAGAGAUGGAAGCCCAGGAUAAAAACUAACUGAGGUGCUCUGGCACGGUACCUGAGACGAGGAAGGACUCCCUCCAGCGUGGCAGUGACAGGGAUCGGACUCCAUUGGAGAAGCUCCCCCGGUAACCAGCGUGGCCAGCCACUUUCUGAACCAGGAUCUUCCCGCCUGUGUUGUCAAUGAUACCACUGCAAGGGGAAAACACAGUAGCUGAAGGAGGAAACUCUCCCCAGAAACACAGAGACCAUUCAGCAGUGCAAGAGGGUAAGCUGCAUAUUUGGUGAAAAGAGAAAGAAUGGAGCCUUCUGAAUCCUUAAGGGAACCUGGCAGAGAGAUCCAGAGGUACAGACGUGGCCGCAUUCAAACUUCCCUGUAAACAAGUGAUUUUGGAGAGGGCUCAUUUGCUGAAAAAAUGACCCAGCCAUGUCCUUGCUGCUGGGGAGAGCAGAGAUGCCAGCUCAGAGAAGGUGGCAAGAGAUCAGUGAGCUCUGAAUGUGACGUGACACUGCAGCAUGUCAGCGGAGUCGUGGUGGACCCAGAGCUUCAGGAGGCCAGAACAUCUCCCAGGGCUCUCAGGAAACCCUGGACCACCCGUCCAGAAAAUACAGUGCCUCCCCAUGCCACUGCAGUGGGCCAACACACACCUCGCUGAUCCAGCAUCUGCCCAUCCCAGUCCCAAAAUCUCUGGUGUGGGGAUUUGGUGACUUUGUGUGCCAGAGCAUUGUUUUUCUGUGCAUUUAGCCUCAAGAUGCCAGAGAAGGAAUACAGUCACAGUUGUGGAUAAGAGCUGAACGGCUGUGGCAGGCUUGACAAUGCUAUUCAUUUUUGGAGCCUCACCAGCAAAACAAGCGCUCGGCACAAAGGGGUAUAUAGAGUCUAGGCUACUGUACUGCUCGUGCAUCUGUACUUAUCUGACUAGCAAAGGAGAAUAUGCUGUAUAGGUCAUAUCAGUGGAAUAACACUAUUUUCUGUUCUGUGUCCUGUAGAUUAACGUUCCCCAGAGUCAUGUAUUGGUAAUUAAUGAUACAAUGCAUACCUCCCCAUUGAUCAAAGAGGUGAAGAAAAAGUCUUGAAAGCAAAACUACUUUAAACACAGGGAACAAGUCAUAUUACAUCUUACACGCUAUUUGUAUCAUUGGCAUAUAUAUGUCUAUUGGUGUGUGACUAAUAUACACCAUGCUUUAUGAAAGAGUUAAGCCCUUGCUAUUCAGGCAGUGAGCAUAUGUGUCCACUUUAACAGUAGGGGUUUAAUGCUUUUAUAAAAACUUAAUAAAAUCUAUAGAAAGUACAGUUUCAUUUUAC